AUUGAACGCUGGCGGCAGGCCUAACACAUGCAAGUCGGACGGUAGCACAGAGAGCUUGCUCUCGGGUGACGAGUGGCGGACGGGUGAGUAAUGUCUGGGGAUCUGCCCGAUAGAGGGGGAUAACCACUGGAAACGGUGGCUAAUACCGCAUAACGUCGCAAGACCAAAGAGGGGGACCUUCGGGCCUCUCACUAUCGGAUGAACCCAGAUGGGAUUAGCUAGUAGGCGGGGUAACGGCCCACCUAGGCGACGAUCCCUAGCUGGUCUGAGAGGAUGACCAGCCACACUGGAACUGAGACACGGUCCAGACGCCUACGGGAGGCAGCAGUGGGGAAUAUUGCACAAUGGGCGCAAGCCUGAUGCAGCCAUGCCGCGUGUAUGAAGAAGGCCUUCGGGUUGUAAAGUACUUUCAGCGGGGAGGAAGGCGAUGUGGUUAAUAACCGCAUUGAUUGACGUUACCCGCAGAAGGAGCACCGGCUAACUCCGUGCCAGCCGCCGCGGUAA
rnacentral:rRNA from 1 species